rnacentral:rRNA from 1 species
GGGCGUAAAGGGCUCCGCAGGCGGUUUCUUAAGUCUGAUGUGAAAGCCCCCGGCUCAACCGGGGAGGGUCAUUGGAAACUGGGGAACUUGAGUGCAGAAGAGGAGAGUGGAAUUCCACGUGUAGCGGUGAAAUGCGUAGAGAUGUGGAGGAACACCAGUGGCGAAGGCGACUCUCUGGUCUGUAACUGACGCUGAGGAGCGAAAGCGUGGGGAGCGAACAGGAUUAGAUACCCUGGUAGUCCACGCCGUAAACGAUGAGUGCUAAGUGUUAGGGGGUUUCCGCCCCUUAGUGCUGCAGCUAACGCAUUAAGCACUCCGCCUGGGGAGUACGGUCGCAAGACUGAAACUCAAAGGAAUUGACGGGGGCCCGCACAAGCGGUGGAGCAUGUGGUUUAAUUCGAAGCAACGCGAAGAACCUUACCAGGUCUUGACAUCCUCUGACAAUCCUAGAGAUAGGACGUCCCCUUCGGGGGCAGAGUGACAGGUGGUGCAUGGUUGUCGUCAGCUCGUGUCGUGAGAUGUUGGGUUAAGUCCCGCAACGAGCGCAACCCUUGAUCUUAGUUGCCAGCAUUCAGUUGGGCACUCUAAGGUGACUGCCGGUGACAAACCGGAGGAAGGUGGGGAUGACGUCAAAUCAUCAUGCCCCUUAUGACCUGGGCUACACACGUGCUACAAUGGACAGAACAAAGGGCAGCGAAACCGCGAGGUUAAGCCAAUCCCACAAAUCUGUUCUCAGUUCGGAUCGCAGUCUGCAACUCGACUGCGUGAAGCUGGAAUCGCUAGUAAUCGCGGAUC